GACGAACGCUGGCGGCGUGCUUAACACAUGCAAGUCGAGCGGUAAGGCCCUUUCGGGGGUACACGAGCGGCGAACGGGUGAGUAACACGUGGGUGACCUGCCCUCAGCUCUGGGAUAAAGCCUGGGAAACCGGGUCUAAUACUGGAUAUGACUCCAUGACGCAUGUUGUGGGGUGGAAAGCCUUGUGCGGCUGAGGAUGGGCCCGCGGCCUAUCAGCUUGUUGGUGGGGGAUGGCCUACCAAGGCGACGACGGGUAGCCGGCCUGAGAGGGCGACCGGCCACACUGGGACUGAGACACGGCCCAGACUCCUACGGGAGGCAGCAGUGGGGAAUCUUGCGCAAUGGGCGAAAGCCUGACGCAGCGACGCCGCGUGAGGGAUGACGG
rnacentral:rRNA from 1 species